rnacentral:rRNA from 1 species
GACGAACGCUGGCGGCGUGCCUAACACAUGCAAGUCGAGCGGGGCUAAUAGCAAUAUUAGCUUAGCGGCGGACGGGUGAGUAACGCGUGGGUAACCUGCCUUAUACAGGGGGAUAACACAGGGAAACUUGUGCUAAUACCGCAUAACGCAGAAGUGUCGCAUGACACAUCUGGCAAAGGAGCAAUCCGGUAUAAGAUGGACCCGCGUCCGAUUAGCUAGUUGGUGGGGUAAAAGCCUACCAAGGCGACGAUCGGUAGCCGAACUGAGAGGUUGAUGGGCCACAUUGGGACUGGGACACGGCCCAGACUCCUGCGGGAGGCAGCAGUGGGGAAUAUUGCGCAAUGGGGGAAACCCUGACGCAGCAACGCCGCGUGAAGGAUGAAGGCUUUCGGGUUGUAAACUUCUUUAGUCGGGGACGAAAAAAAUGACGGUACCCGAAGAAUAAGCCACGGCUAACUACGUGCCAGCCGCCGCGGUAACAC